rnacentral:rRNA from 1 species
ACACGGUCCAGACUCCUACGGGAGGCAGCAGUGGGGAAUAUUGCACAAUGGGCGCAAGCCUGAUGCAGCCAUGCCGCGUGUGUGAAGAAGGCCUUCGGGUUGUAAAGCACUUUCAGCGGGGAGGAAGGCGUUAAGGUUAAUAACCUCAUCGAUUGACGUUACCCGCAGAAGAAGCACCGGCUAACUCCGUGCCAGCAGCCGCGGUAAUACGGAGGGUGCAAGCGUUAAUCGGAAUUACUGGGCGUAAAGCGCACGCAGGCGGUCUGUCAAGUCGGAUGUGAAAUCCCCGGGCUC